CCAAAGGUGGCGCUAAACUGCUGAGCCACCCGGGAUGCCCAAGAACCAGUAUUUUAGAAUCAGAGCAUUCUGUGUAUCCCUGUAUAGGGUGUUCUCAGGCUUUAUUCCUGCUAAUUUAGCAUUUAUGUGGGAUUACUACUUCUAAGGGAUAAGCAGUUUUCUCAUGUGAAGUUAUUAGAAUCUUUCUUUUGUAUCUUUCAGUAUUCACAGAAUAUGUGAUCAUUCUGUUCAAGUGGUCAUGGAUGACUCUAGAGAUAGCAGUAAUUCCUUACCUUUGUUGAGUACCAUUAACAGUGGUUCCCAGUUAUGGCUAGACAUCAAAAUAUAUUGUUUUAAGAUCACACAGAUGAUUUUGGUGAGCCUCCCUCUUGAGAACCACAGAUUUGCCAAGAGUGUCAGGUUAUAAUUCACAUGAUUUUAUGUCACUUUCACUCAUCAUGAAAAAGAUGGGACUCUCAGGUUAAGCGAGCUGCCCAAGGUAGCAGGUAGGGUGCCUGCGGGAGGUGGACAGCCAGGGGAAGGAGGGCCAGCAAGAAGGUACAAGUCAAAGGGAGGAAGCUGGACCCUGCCCCCACCUCCCUGUUUACUUCCACCAUCCAUGCCUUCUGACGGCACAUUCUUACCAGAGGUACAUUGAGAGAUACCUUUUUUAGAUUAGAAGGAUGAAAGAUUACUAAAAGCCAGCUUUGUUUCCUUAUUUAAUCUACUAUGUCAUGGCAGCACAGAGAUACACAGAUGUGUUGUCAGGUUACAAGUCGUUUAUCUCCUGUGGAUGUUUCCCCAAGUAGCAUAACUUAUAUGGGUGGUAACAUUUUCCUGAGAAUGCUUUUGGCACCACACACCUGCCAGCAACGUCUCACUGGUCAAGGAAGCAACAUGGUGGAGCAAGAAGCAUAAGCUGAGAGUUGGCCACUGUUUACUUGCGUGCUAACCAGCGGCAAGGCAUUUAAUUUCUCUGGCUUAUAGAAUUCCUGUAUCUAUAAAAUGAAAGUGAACGAGUGAUGUAUUUCUAAGGUCCUUUCCAAUUCUCUUACUCAAUGAUGCCAGUGACUCAUGGUGGCAAGAAUAUAAUCCUACUGUAAUUCAUCAUUAAGUCCGUGUGUAUCACCUUCUGUGUCUAGGGGGUUAUGCUAGAUGCUGUGGAGAAUCCAACAAGGAGUUCCCACAAAGUUCCCACAAAGACUGCCCUCCUGCAACCUACCAUCCAGCCAGGGAGACAAAAAUGCAUCACGGAUCAUUCUCCCAGAAAGUGAAAGGAAAACUAUCAGUUGAGAAAACCAUAAUUUAUUAAGCCUCUCUAUGUGCCCUAGGGACUCUUCUAGGUAUAUAAGGUAUGUAAAUACCUUAUAUGCAUUUAACUUAAUUAUCACAAUAACCCUGUGAGGUAGAUAUUAUUGUCCCAUUUUAUAGUUAAGGGAGCAAACAUUCAGAGAACAAGUAACCUGCCCCGAGUUGUGCAGCUAGGAUGUUGAACCACGAUUCAGAAACCAGCCCUUCUGAUUUCAGAGCUUAGGCUUUUUCAUUAGAUCAUGUUGCUUUCUGAUAAAAUGCUAGAAGGAUCAAUAGUUGGAUACUUUUAGGGGCAGGAUAAGCCCUUUCUGGUAGAGGAGCCAUUUGCUCAAGGACUUAAAAGUGGUGGAAUUGGCACAGGUGAGCUGGAAGUCUAUUUCCAGCAAGGACACGGGAGGGAGAAAGCCAUGCGCAGGUAGGAAGCCCCGCAUGCCCUCUGCCCUGUGAGCAACACCUGUGAAGGACUGGCGGCAGAGCAGGAGGGGGAAGGCAGCUGGCAGACAGAUCCAAGAGUUACUGCAAAGGCAUUUGGGGGCUACUCCAGCUUCGGAUGAGAGGUCACAUCCAGCUAUGCCCCGUGAGUACUCAGUGGACGGGAAUGAGAUCGGAGCCCGCUGGCCUGGCUGGGGAGCCGUGCAAGAAUGCAGGGCCGAGCUGGCGGCCUGAGAUUGAAGGUCAGAAGUGGGGAAGGGAGAGGAGGCACUGGAGCAUUCUGUGGCCUUCUCAAGAAGAUGCUGUCAUUGGGAAACACACCCGAGAGGCACGGACUGGGGAGGCAUGAUGAGGACCCUGACUCCAGUGAGCCCGAGAUGCGCACGACUUCUUCAGCUGUAGCUCCAGAACCUAAGAAAGCAGCCAGAGCCAGAGCACACAGGCAUCACGCUUUUGCAGGGGAACUGCAGGCUGAGAGUCCGUGCAGGCUGGCGCGCUCCUGUUUACAAAGCACGUGCACAGUUGGUACCCCGGGUGCUUGUUGUGGUGGCUGAAGAGAGCCACAGUGAAAGAAUAGCCAUGCUGAUAGCUAGGAGUUAUUAACUGCCUACUGUAUACCAGGCACUGUGCUCAGCAUUGUACGUACUUCAGUCUUCGCAUCCCUUUGAGGUGGGGCUCAUUUUUCAUAGCAAGGAGCUAAGACAGGGGUAAAUACAUUAGCCAACUAGUAAAUGGCAAAGCUGAGGUUAGAGCCCAGGUCCAGUGGCCUUUAGGUCCCCAGACUUGGUUAAACAGAGAAAAGGAAAAGAGGUGCUAUGACUGAGGAAAAUCUGAUUCCUCAGAAAAAGAAGGAAUUGCAAGAAGGGCAGAAGCACAGCCGAUUGCUGUUGAGCAGUUUGCUGCUAGAUGCUUGGAGAGUCAGGGUGGGGACUGGAGUGACCCUGCACUGACCAGGGCUGGUUCACCACCAUUGACAUCCACCGGCCUCCCACAAAGCUUGCACACUGAGCUCGUAACUGAUGGCGCUAGGAUUUUCCAUACUCAGUGAAACAGAUGGGCAGCAGCACCUUCCUGCCUCUCGCUACCCCGUAUCCGUGCAGCCUGGAAGAAGGGGGAAUGUCUGAAAGUCAGCAGGACCUCAGAGAGCCCAGAGGCCUGCUGCUGCUGCUGUGCUCAGCUGCUUCUCUACAUCAACGGUUGAUGUGUAACUUUGCCCUUCGUUACAUUCAUCCUACAUGAUUUUUAAGUGAUGAUGCUUUUCCUGCCAGAGUAACAAACUUAGUACAAUGACACGCCAGUAGGAUGACAUAUCCUGCAAUGACUUACAUGCUGUGUGUGUGUGGGCAUGCGUGCACACGUCUGAUUGUAAAUGGAACAGUGUAUCUGAUGCUUACAUUUCUAAAUAUUUAUAUUUAAUUUCAGGGGAGGGGAUCCCUGGGUGGCUCAGCGGUUUAGCACCUGACAUUGGCUCAGGGCGUGGUCCUGGAGUCCCAGGAUCGAGUCCCACGUCGUGCUCCCUGCAUGGAACCUGCUUCUCCCUCUGCCUAUGUUUCUGCCUCUCUCUCUCUCUCUCUCUCUCUCUCUCUCUGUGUCUCAUGAAUAAAUAAAAAAAAAAUAAAAUCUUUAAAAAAAAUUUCAGGGGAACAUUGGCUCCAAGUUUUCCACUUUCUCAUAGUUUUGUUAUUCUGGUCAUGGCUCUGCAGAGGCAGCUUCUCUGAAGCUCUCUGACCACUCAGCUAAAUUUAUUUUCAGAUAUAAGAAACUCAGAUAUACAUUUUUUUCUGAGGCAUACUAAGAUUUUAAGUCUACUUUUCCCACCAACCUUAGUAUAUAGCUUAUUAUCCUGAGAUAUUUAAUAAAUCCGGCUGCUGAUGGUCACUUUGCAGUUUCUGGUUUUUUUCCACCCUGCCCCCACAAAGAACACUUGGAGACUGUCUGGAGGAGCAGUAAGGACCAAGCAGCAGUUUGAGCUGUGACUUUCCAGGCAGGCUUGGCUCCCAGCUCUGUGACAUGCUGUAUGAUCUUGAUUGAACCAUCCACCACUAUCCUGGCCUCUACUUCAGAGUCCGAGAUAAUGAACCAUCCUUGAUACCUGUGUCCUCGAAACCUAGGAGAAUUUUUUUAAAGAUUAUUCUAUUUGAGAGAGAGAGACAGAGAGAGCAGAGGCAAAGCCAGAGAGAGCAUAAGUGGAGAGUGAAGGGGUGGGUAGAGCAAGGGGGAGAAGCAGACUCCCCACUAAGCAAGGAGCCCAGUGGGACUCGAUCUCAGGACCCUGGGAUCGUGACCUGAGCUGAAGGCAGACACUUAACCGACCGAGCCACCCAGGCACCUUGAGACCUGGGAGAAUUAAUGAGCUAAAGACCAUAAAAUACAAAAGAGUCUUGGGUUGACGACCCCUCAGAGGAAGACCUCCUGUUGCAGCGCUUCUCCGUUGGCAGGCUUUCCCUCAUGGCGUUUUCCUGUCAGAUCCUCAUCUUAUCAUUAUCCUCAUUUUAUACGUACCUAUGGUAUUAUUCAGCAUCACCACGUAGUACCUAGUUCACUUAUAGUUUUUGAAAACCUGAAAGUAUCAUACAUUGUAAUGAAGUUUCACUGAAUUAUAAUGAUCAUUCAGGACUAUACAUCCAAAGCUUAAAUUGGCUAAAUUUUACUCACCCAGUCAUUUAUCUGAAACGUGGUGUCAUCCUACAAUCCUAAAAAAAUGUAAUAACGAAUACAAAAUCUCAAGCUUAAAGGACAGUUUUGUAAUAUCAAACAAGCAUUGUGUCAUAAAAUGAAAUUUUGGUGAAAGAACUAUUCUAGAUAAAUCAGAAAUGAAACUUGAGUUCUGAAAGAAAUCCGAAACUUAUAAUUGUACAUUUGGAAGUACCUUAGAAAUGACAAAGAAAGAGCACCUGGGUGGCUUAGUGAGUUAAGUGUCUGCCUUGGGCUCAGGGCAUGAUCUCAGGGUCCUGGGAUGGAGCCUCACGUCGUGUUCCCUGCUCAACGGAGAGCCUGUUUCUCCUCCUUCUACUCUCCUCCCUGCUUGUGCGUGUGCAUUCUCUCUCUCUCUCUC
rnacentral:lncRNA from 1 species